rnacentral:rRNA from 1 species
GCGAUACCGCGAAUGGCUCAAUAUAUCAGUUUUGGUUCCUUAGAUCUUACUCAGUUACUUGGAUAACUGUGGCAAUUCUAGAGCUAAUACAUGCAAUCAGAGCUCCGACCAGAGAUGGAAAGAGCGCUUUUAUUAGAUCAAAACCAAUCGACGGAGGUGGCGACACCGAUGUCGUUUAAUUUGAUGAAUCUGGAUAACUUUUGCCGAUCGCACGGUCUCGUACCGGCGACGCAUCUUUCAAAUGUCUGCCUUAUCAACUUUCGAUGGUAGUUUCUGCGACUACCAUGGUUGUCACGGGUAACGGGGAAUCAGGGUUCGAUUCCGGAGAGGGAGCCUGAGAAACGGCUACCACAUCCAAGGAAGGCAGCAGGCGCGCAAAUUACCCACUCCCGGCACGGGGAGGUAGUGACGAAAAAUAACGAUACGGGACUCAUAUGAGGCCUGGUAAUCGGAAUGAGUACACUUUAAAUAUUUUAACGAGGAACAAUUGGAGGGCAAGUCUGGUGCCAGCAGCCGCGGUAAUUCCAGCUCCAAUAGCGUAUACUAAAAUUGUUGCGGUUAAAAAGCUCGUAGUUGCAUUUGUGCGCCGCGCUGUCGGUGCACCGCUCCCCGUGAUACUGGCACGUUUGCGGAGCAUAUCGUCGGUGAGCUUCCGGUWAAACGGMUUCWAWUACAAAUAAUCCUAUCGCGGUGCUCUUGGAAUAAUAGAAUAUGAUCUCGGUUCUAUUUUGUUGGUUUUCGGACUCCGAGGUAAUGAUUAAUAGGGAUAACUGGGGGCAUUCGUAUUGCGACGUUAGAGGUGAAAUUCUUGGAUCGUCGCAAGACGGACAUCAGCGAAAGCAUUUGCCAAAGGUGUUUUCAUCAAUCAAGAACGAAAGUUAGAGGUUCGAAGGCGAUUAGAUACCGCCCUAGUUCUAACCAUAAAUGUUGCCACCUGGCGAUCCGCCGACGUUACUUCAAUGGCUCGGCGGGCAGCCU